UGUAUCUCUGAUGAUAUCUUGGCUCACUCUACUGAACUCUAGUGUGGAAGCUUGCCAAUGUCACCCAAUUUUUGUCUGAGAUGUG